rnacentral:rRNA from 1 species
GACGAACGCUGGCGGCGUGCUUAACACAUGCAAGUCGAACGGAAAGGCCCGGCUUUUGUGUGGUGCUCGAUUGGCGAACGGGUGAGUAACACGUGAGUAACCUGCCCUUGACUUUGUGAUAACUUCAGGAAACUGGGGCUAAUACCGGAGAGGAUCUCCUGCUGCAUGGUGGUGGUUGGAAAGUGUCGGCGGUUGGGGAUGGACUCGCGGCUUAUCAGCUUGUUGGUGGGGUAGUGGCUUACCAAGGCUUUGACGGGUAGCCGGCCUGAGAGGGUGACCGGCCACAUUGGGACUGAGAUACGGCCCAGACUCCUACGGGAGGCAGCAGUGGGGAAUAUUGCACAAUGGGCGGAAGCCUGAUGCAGCAACGCCGCGUGCGGGAUGACGGCCUUCGGGUUGUAAACCGCUUUCGCCUGUGACGAAGCGUGAGUGACGGUAAUGGGUAAAGAAGCACCGGCUAACUACGUG